AACGCAUAUUGCACUUUCUGGUAUUCCGGAAAGUAUGCCUGUUUGAGGGUCAGUUAAAUAAAAUCGGUGUUGUUGCUGCCUUUCGUGGUGACGCGUCGGAAUUGAGUUGUCUUACCCUUCGGUUAAGUGACUUAAAAUUUUGCAUGAUUUUCGAACGUAUUUAAAUUGCUUACGUACGUUUGAGAUAUCGAAUACUUUUAUUAGGUUCGGUCAUCCUCAUGACUCGCGCCUAUAAUUUUUCAUUAAAUGACCUCAAAUCAGGUAAGAAUACCCGCUGAACUUAA
rnacentral:misc_RNA from 1 species